CAUCCCAGAUCCUUUGUAACCCAUUGGCCUUCACCUAUAAAAGCAAGCCCUCUGGCCCCUGUAGGACUCAGAGAGAGUUCUUGUGGUGUUUGUGGAAGCAGUGUUUGUAGGGCCUAAGUAUGGUUUUAUACUUUUCCCUGGGAACCACUUUGGGCCAGAUGGUAGCUGGACACAGGCGUAGCCACAUUGUAGCUUGGAUUGAUCAUGACAAGUAAACUGAAGCUGUUAGUUCAUUUAAUUGUCAGUUCUGUGCCUGUGCAGUAAGUCAGUCAAUGAUUCUUCUGAAAUGACUGCUGCUACAUCGCAUAGCUGCUCAUGUGGCCAUGGGAUGUGUAUUGAUGGGGCUAAUGGAGUCACUGAGCCAAGUUCAUAUCUAGCAAUGUCACAGCUCCCCAGAUAUUGGCCGUGGUGGUGAUUUGUUCUGCAGAGCAUCCUGAAAGCCCAGGCAGUAUCAAAAUCCAGUAUACUGGUUUGAGUGACAAUAGCCACAAGGCUGAAGAGGCUACAUGAAACUUGAAAGAAGACAGUAAACAGCAAAACCAGUGGUGUUGAUGGUGGUACAGGAUGCACAGGCUAGUUUUACAGUCAUUUAGAUGCAGCAUCACUUGGGAUACCUUAAAGUCAGAAUUUAUGAAUUAUUUUUAAAAUAUUAAGCUUAACAAUAAUAUUUUAAUUAAAAAGAACUUUAUGAUGGACUGUGCUGGCCAUUCUGAACCUAGCAAAAUAGAUGAUGAAUUUUUUUAUGAAACAGAUGAGAAGGGAGUCUUGAUGAAUGUUAGAAAGACCAGCAGCAAUCGUAGAAGUUAGUCCAAGGAAAAUUUGUCCUGAGUGCAGCAAUGGACCUAUUACUUAUCUGAAAACAUCUUGUAGAAAACAGCUGUUAGGUCACUAGUUCACCUCACCCAGAAGAUAGGAUUUCUCUUAACUGUAUUCUGUCUUGAGUUGUUUUCAUGUUAUUUUGAAAGCUAAUAUUAAUUUAACCCUAUUUUCCCUCACCUCAGAUACUGCUGCUAAUAAUUUCUGCCUCUUGGAUAUUUUGCAGCAUUUACAGACUCACCACUUCUGAUCACUGACUACCUUGGCCAUAUGUGAAGUAUUGGUAUAGAGAUGAAAACCUGUGUAUUCCACUAGUGACCCUUCUCUUCCUCCUUUGCAUCUAAAGAAAAUUAUGUUUUUUUAAUAGCUUCUUUUUCUUCCAAGAUUGCUCUCUCUUUGCCAAUCUCCUUAAGAAUGUCUUUGAGACUUAUCCUGGGACCAUAAUGAUUAUCUUCACCAAAGAACAAGAAAGUGGAACAACCUGUAGCAUCAGAGAAUUAUUCCUCACAUGUACAGUUGGAUAAGAUGGGAUUCAUGCAACAUCUCAGAAUAACUAAUUUCUUUUGGAGCAGAGGUUUCUUUUGUUGCUGCUGACUCCUUCCUUCCCUCACAUGCUGCUUAUCUGGGUGAAGAAUCAUGGCUGGAAUUUAUAAAUGCUUCUCUGUUGUGCAAAGGAACUUUGAUAGCAUGAAAUGAAUAACAGCUGGUUGGCAGAACCUCAGGGGGAUUCUGGGGCAAAUGAAAACAGCUCAUGAGUGGGAAAGGGUCCCACCCCUGCAUUCAAGUGAUGACACAACUGAGUGACUGCAUCUGCAU